rnacentral:rRNA from 1 species
CUACGGGUCGCACCAGUGGGGAAUAUUGGACAAUGGGGGAAACCCUGAUCCAGCAAUGCCGCGUGUGUGAAGAAGGCCUGCGGGUUGUAAAGCACUUUCGGUUGGGAGGACUGCUUCCAGCACUAAUAUUGUUGGAAGUUGACGUUACCUUCAGAAGAAGCACCGGCUAACUCCGUGCCAGCAGCCGCGGUAAUACGGAAGGUGCAAGCGUUAAUCGGAAUUACUGGGCGUAAAGCGCGCGUAGGCGGCUAGAUCAGUCGGGUGUGAAAGCCCCGGGCUUAACCUGGGAACUGCAUCCGAUACUGUCUAGCUUGAGUACAGGAGGGGAGAGUGGAAUUCCACAUGUAGCGGUGAAAUGCGUAGAUAUGUGGAGGAACACCAAUGGCGAAGGCAGCUCUCUGGCCUGAUACUGACGCUGAGGUGCGAAAGCGUGGGGAGCAAACAGGAUUAGAUACCCUCGUAGUC